rnacentral:rRNA from 1 species
UACGUAGGGUGCAAGCGUUAAUCGGAAUUACUGGGCGUAAAGCGUGCGCAGGCGGUUUUGUAAGACAGAGGUGAAAUCCCCGGGCUCAACCUGGGAACUGCCUUUGUGACUGCAAGGCUGGAGUCUGGCAGAGGGGGGUAGAAUUCCACGUGUAGCAGUGAAAUGCGUAGAGAUGUGGAGGAACACCGAUGGCGAAGGCAGCCCCCUGGGUCAAGACUGACGCUCAUGCACGAAAGCGUGGGGAGCAAACAGG